rnacentral:rRNA from 1 species
UACGUAGGGCGCAAGCGUUAUCCGGAAUUAUUGGGCGUAAAGAGCUCGUAGGCGGUUUGUCGCGUCUGCCGUGAAAGUCCGGGGCUCAACUCCGGAUCUGCGGUGGGUACGGGCAGACUAGAGUGAUGUAGGGGAGACUGGAAUUCCUGGUGUAGCGGUGAAAUGCGCAGAUAUCAGGAGGAACACCGGUGGCGAAGGCGGGUCUCUGGGCCGUAACUGACCGCUGAGGAGCGAAAGCAUGGGGAGCGAACAGGA